rnacentral:rRNA from 1 species
CAGUCGCCACGGGAAUACGAGGGGAGCUAGCGUUGUUCGGAAUUACUGGGCGUAAAGCGCGCGUAGGCGGCUUUUUAAGUCAGAGGUGAAAGCCCGGGGCUCAACCCCGGAAUUGCCUUUGAAACUGGAAAGCUAGAAUCUUGGAGAGGUCAGUGGAAUUCCGAGUGUAGAGGUGAAAUUCGUAGAUAUUCGGAAGAACACCAGUGGCGAAGGCGACUGACUGGACAAGUAUUGACGCUGAGGUGCGAAAGCGUGGGGAGCAAACAGGAUUAGAUACCCCAGUAGUCCCUGUCUCUUAUAC